CUGAGAAAAUGUACGGAAUUCAACAGCACAGAACAAAAGGUACUGAGACACUGACUUGGCAAAAAGUAUGUAAAAUUAUGUAACCUUGAGCUUGGUUCUGGGAGCUGGAGUCGAGGGUUCUAAGUCUGGUGAUGAGCCUGGCUCUGUGUGAUGGCAUCUACUAAAGGAAUGAUGGUGCCGGCAGCCACUUCCUCUCAUACAUGAUGUGGUCUUUCCUUUUCCUAGGAUGUUUGGGGGAAAUGGAUUUGAAGAGGGAACAAACAAGGAUAGAAAAACUCAUCAAGAGAUUAUUACAACAGUCCCAAAGAGAAAUGAUGAUGGCCUGAACUAAGGCUGUGACUAGCAUGAAAGGAAGAGAGAAGAUAGAAGUAUCAACAAAACAAGGUGAAUAACUGAGCUUCAAAGGGAUUAAGCAACUUGGCUGUGGUUACACAACGAUGGAGCUGGAAUUUAAACUCAGAUAUUUUUUAUUGCAAAAGUCAUGUUCCUAUUCAAACUGCUUUCCAAAUGGCUGAGUGCUCACAUAAUGAGAAAUUUGGGUUUUGCUAAUAUAAAAUAUGAAUGUGUUUAGGACCAUCUGUUUCUCUCCAUUCCAAUACCCAUUACCAUUUUCCUUGGGGAAUAAUAUACGUUUUGGGAGCUGGCCCCUGUCACUGCUCCAAUGAUGGUAGCUCCUAUUUCAUUCCAUCCAAGCUCUUCCUCCAAAUCUCUUUGUUCUUCCAUACUUGUAAAUUGCCUGAUCAAUAAUGUUGCUUAAAACGGAUUUUUCUUUACAUAUAUCCCUAGUCUUAUGCUAGAUUUUGGUAUAUUUUUGUUACUGAUGAAACUAGCAUCACUAAUUCUAGAAUUUGAAAAACAAAAAACAACCUAUGUAUCUACUUUACACACCCAUGGAAGAUACCAUUUCUAUUCAACAUUGCACUAAAGGUCUUAGUCAAUGAAAUAAAUCAAGAAAAAAAAGAAAUAAAAAUGUGUAAUUA